GUGAAAGAGUCGUCCUUUUCUUGCUUCCGUUUCCAUCCAAUCAGCAAGUCUUUGCCGGUCUCUCUGGCCUCCAGGCACAUCUGCCCUCAAAGACACUUCAAUCCCUUGAUGCAGCAGUCAGCAUGUGUGUGUCCCCAGUACUCCAUCAAACGGCUUGUUUCUGCCCCGAGAGCACUGAUGGCUGCUUCCACGGUGCACGGACUAUUAAUGUGCACCAAAUACAUGCAGAAUCUGCCGAGAAACGGAAUGAGUGUACUCGAUUGAGUCUAUCUGCUGCAAAAAAAGGCAGACAUUUGCUCUCCUGAGAGUCGUGGACUGUGCCUGGAUGUGUGGAGUACCGGAGCUGAUCAGACUGUGUCAGAGACCUGCUGAGAAAUAGAUUACAGUCAGAUGGAAGGAACCCAAAGCCUGGUAGCAAACCAUAGCACAGCAGGUCCCGACAGUGCUGAGAGGGCAACCCCAGCAUAUGAAG